rnacentral:misc_RNA from 1 species
GGUUGUAGUAGUUCCACUCAUUCCUCCUGUAGGCCGUGCCAUCUUGCGUGGCCUCCCUCUUGGCUUUCCACUACCUGUAGCUGCAACCUUUGGCUUCACUGGCUUUGGGAUUGGGGGUGCAUUUGGGUCCUUUGGUGGACGGCCCCUAGGUCUGGCACGGGCCACAACUGAACCCGGUGGUAAUGGAACCUUGGCUUUGGGGGGCCUCCCACGGCCACGCCUCGGAGGUGCAUUGGGCUCUGCUUUCAUGUAGUUGUUUUUC